UCGUUGGUGGCUUAGAGGUUAAGCGCAUGGCUUCCGGACAUGUGGUCCUGGGUUCGAAUCUCGGUGACGAA
rnacentral:tRNA from 1 species